rnacentral:rRNA from 1 species
AUGGUUCUCCUGCCAAAAUGUGCUAGCUCUCAAUCUGCAGACGCGUUUCGACCGAUCGCCCUUCAGAACUGCCCGAUCAAAGGCAUUGCAAAAGUUCUCACCAACAGAUUAAAACCUUUCAUCCCUUCACUAGUCCACGGCGAUCAGACUGGCUUCAUCUCAGGGAGAUGCAUUGCAGAGAAUUUCGUGUACGCCGCCGAUCUCAUAAACACAUGCCACAAGCGAAAAAGCAAAACGAUGGUACUGAAACUAGACGUCAGAAAAGCCUUCGAUUCUGUGUCAUGGCACGCCCUCCUGCUAAUUCUGCAACAUCGGGGUUUUCCCCCAUGCUUCUGCUCUUGGAUAAGCGAUCUUCUCAACACUGGGAAAACUGCUGUAAUGCUAUACGGUGUGCUAGGUGACUGGAUCAAGUGCAAGAAUGGCCUGCGUCAGGGUGACCCCAUGUCCCCUUAUCUCUUCCUCAUUGUGGCUGAUGUUCUCCAACAACUCAUUCUAACAACGGCCUCAUCCUCUCCUGACCUACGCCACCCCAUCUACCCUGACCUCCCCCCUGCCGUCCUACAAUACGCAAACGAUACGCUAAUUAUAGCUCACGCUUCAUCUAACUCAGCCGUUUCCCUUCGAUCUAUCCUAGAUCAGUUCGCUCAAGCUACAGGACUGCGAAUUAACUUCUCCAAAACAACCUUCGUCCCCAUGAAUCUCGAUGACGCGACCUCUCUUGAGAUCGCACAAGUCCUGGACUGCGCAGUGUCCUGUUUUCCUCAAACUUACUUAGGCCUACCUUUAUCCCCUGUCAAACUCACUGCCGCAGCCUUCCAGCCUAUCAUCACAAACUGUGUUAACUACCUUCCUGGAUGGUGUGCUAAACUACUUUCUUGCCCGGGCUGCCUGGUCCUCAUCUCCUCCGUGCUUGACUCGCUGGCCACCUAUUUCAUGUCCGUGUUCAAACUGCCAAAAGAAAUACUAAAGAAGCUCGACGCUAUUAGACGGGCGUUUUUUGGGGCUGCGGAUGAGUCCUGUUCAGGUGCUCGGUGUCUUAUUGCUUGGUCUAACAUAUGUAAACCAAAAGAGUUCGGUGGUCUAGGCAUCAAAAAUUUAGCUUUACAAAAUGACUGCUUGCUUAUGAAGUUUGCCUAUAAAUUCCUAGCAGCCAAUUCUCACCAAGAGUUACCUUGGAUAUCAUGGCUAAACAGAGUACACUUACACAGCAUCCCCCACAUUGCCUCUUGCAACAAUCCCUCCUACCUAACUAAAGCUGUGCAAGCACAAUUAGCUACACUAUCCUCUAUCACCUUCGUCCUCACUAACAACGGGUUGAGGACCUUUUUUUGGCACGACACCUGGCUUGCUCAUGCACCCCUAGCUAUGCUUUUCCCUAGCCUAUACUCCCACUCCUCCGACAAACACAUCCUAGUCUUUCAUGCAAUACAGUACGGGCUACGAACGAACCUAACAGAUCGGCUAACCUCGGCCGCCUCGCGCGAGCUGGAUCAAGUUUUGUUGUUGCUGCAGGAUUUCUCCUUAUCCACAAACCCCGACGAGAGGCACCUCAUCCACGGCACAGCUUUUUCUUCUAAAGCUGCCUACAAGCUCCUCACACAGGAGGAUCAUGAGAUCGCACAUGCCCCUUUAAUUUGGCGCUCCAAGGCUCACCCUAAGUUGAAGCUCUUUGCUUGGUUGCUUUUUCAUGGACGUCUAAAUACUAAAGCAAACCUGUUCCAUAAGCACAUUGGUCCUGACGCAAAGUGCCCCAGGUGCCCUGCCAGCUCUGAAGACACUAACCAUCUCUUCCUCCGAUGCCCCAAAGCAAACCUCGUAUGGUUGCAGCUAGGAAUCGUCCCGACAGACAGUCUGUAG